rnacentral:rRNA from 1 species
GACGUAGGGGGCGAGCGUUGUCCGGAAUUACUGGGCGUAAAGGGCGCGUAGGCGGUGGGACAAGUCCAAGGUGAAAGCCGGCGGCUCAACCGCAGGAGUGCCUUGGAGACUGUUCUGCUGAGAGGGCAGGAGAGGGAAGUGGAAUUCCCGGUGUAGCGGUGAAAUGCGUAGAUAUCGGGAGGAAUACCGGUGGCGAAGGCGCCCCUCUGGACGGUAACUGACGCUGAGGCGCGAAAGCGUGGGGAGCAAACAGG